AGAGUUUGAUCCUGGCUCAGAAUCAACGCUGGCGGCGUGCCUAACACAUGCAAGUCGCACGAGAAAGGGGAGCAAUCCAUGAGUACAGUGGCGUACGGGUGAGUAACACGUGGAUAACCUGCCCUUUAGUGGGGAAUACCGAUGGGAAACCGUCGACAAUACCGCAUAAGCUCGAGAGAGGAAAGCAGCAAUGCGCUGAAGGAGGGGUCCGCGGUCGAUUAGCUAGUUGGUAGGGUAAUGGCCUACCAAGGCUGUGAUCGAUAGCCGGCCUGAGAGGGCACACGGCCACACUGGCACUGAAACACGGGCCAGACUCCUACGGGAGGCAGCAGUGGGGAAUCUUGCACAAUGGGGGCAACCCUGAUGCAGCGACGCCGCGUGAGCGAUGAAGCCCUUCGGGGUGUAAAGCUCUUUCGGCAGGGAAGAUUAUGACGGUACCUGCAGAAGCAGCUGCGGCUAACUACGUGCCAGCAGCCGCGGUAAUACGUAGGCAGCAAGCGUUGUUCGGAGUUACUGGGCGUAAAGGGUGCGUAGGCGGUUCUGUAAGUAUGGUGUGAAAUCUCCCGGCUUAACUGGGAGGGUGCGCUAUAAACUGCGGGACUAGAGUGUGGGAGAGGAAAGUGGAAUUCCUGGUGUAGCGGUGAAAUGCGUAGAUAUCAGGAGGAACACCGGUGGUGUAAACGGCUUUCUGGACCAUAACUGACGCUGAGGCACGAAAGCGUGGGUAGCAAACAGGAUUAGAUACCCUAGUAGUCC
rnacentral:rRNA from 1 species